UGAAGGCAGCCCUGCAGAUACAAACCCUUUGGUGAGUUUCAGAGUUUUCUUUAAGCUAAACUAACAAGGAUAUGCUCUCCUUGUGAUUAUGUCAUGAUGAGAUAUUUCCAGAAUGUUAACAUAAAACCAUCUUAAACAGGAAAAAUAAAAUAAAAUCUUCUUCUUACUUGUUUUAUUAGCAUAGCAUGAAGGGGAUGCAUAGAACACCAGCACAAACAUGAGAAAUAAUGCAAUAUAAGCCUAACCAUCAUAACUUUGAAAGGUGAAAGAAUCUACAAGAAGUGUUAUACAAGGAACAUGUCACAUUUCUUUAUCACACAAAUGUUGAAUGGCAAGUCUCAAAAUUUCUUGUUCAAUGUAGUUUGAAACACACAUCACCAUCUUUUCAGGUCUAAGCAAGUGGAAAUAUCAAACCCAUCAUCCAGAUUUGUUCUUAUAACAGUUAAAUACACCUCACAGUUGCCCACAGACUUUUUGCAGCUAUCACCUAUGUGAUUGCAUGAGAAUUGAGAAGGAUUUCCCUUUGUUAGAUAAUUGUGACAACAAUUAAGCAUGAACAUUCUGCAUAUAAAUCAUACAAUAAUCUAAGAGGGCCAAAAUUAUCUGUUUGAGUAGGCACGAGACUUUCUGUAUAAAUCAACAGGAUUUUUGUCUUCCAAUAUUACUUUCAUUUUAGUAGCAAUUGACACUCCUGAAAAUAAUCAUAAAUGCAAACGCUACCAAUUCAAAUCACUACCUGUCAUACAAAUGGG
rnacentral:misc_RNA from 1 species